GUACAUAUAAAUAUAUCUACACAUAUAUAAAACAUGUUUAUUUUAUGCAUUUAGUUCUAUAUAUAUAUUUUUUUAAUUUAUUAAAUUAUUUUUCCUUUUUUUUAUUUAAAAAUUAUUAACCAAUGAACAAAUGGAAAAAUUCAAGAGCCCUUUAAUGAAUAAAAAUAUAAGUGAUGUUUUUAUUUCCUAUAAUGAUAUGAUACAAGACAACGAAUAUGAAAGUAGUUAUGGAUCAUACAAAGAUGUCAGUGACUUUUUGGAAAAUUCCGAAAGCUCAAGUAGUCAAUAUUCAAGUGAAAGUGAACCACUAAAAUUGUACAACUCACAUUUUACAAAUAGAAAAGCAAAUAUUCAGGAAACUAAUUCCGUUAAUGAUAUAUUUACAUGUGAAAAAGAAAAUAUAUUGAGACACUCUUACACAGAUAGUUAUAUAAAUGAAAUGGACAGUAUGGAGUGCUUUCCGUUUACAGAUUAUAAACACAAUACCACCAAUAUGAAUAAUAUAAGCGAAUUAGCGGAAUACCAAUGGAAACCAUAUGGUCGUAGUGUGCCUGACAUUUCUUCAAUAAACUUGACCCACAGAAAGGCAUGGGAUAUUGGAAGAGAAGGUAAACAGAGGACCAUAAUAAAUAUUAUCUGAUGUAUACAUAUAUAUAUAUCCCUAUUUAUAAUAUCUUAUUGAUAUUUAUUUUAAACAUACCAUUUUUAUUUUUUAAUAUUUUUUUAUUAGUUUUAAGCACACGGACGUGCACACAUAACUUCUUUAACUUUUCAUGUUUUUAUAGGUUGUAACGGAAUACUCAUUAAAAGCAUUUUAGAUAGCUAUAAUAAAAAGAAACUGAAUUAUAUAUUACUGGAUGGU
rnacentral:lncRNA from 1 species